rnacentral:rRNA from 1 species
UACAGGAGCCAUAUCUCACUGCAGUUCUUGCCUGGUUUCCUACUGAAGCUAAGCAGGGUGGAGUCUGGCCAGUACCUGGACGGGAGACCUCCUGGGGAAAACUAAAGUAGCUGCUGGAA